rnacentral:rRNA from 1 species
GACGAAGGUGGCGAGCGUUGUUCGGAAUCACUGGGCAUAAAGCGCACGUAGGCGGCGACGUAAGUUGGGUGUGAAAUCCCUCGGCCCAACCGAGGAACUGCGCCCAGUACUGCGUUGCUUGAGGAUCCAAGGGGUGCAUGGAAUUCCCGGUGGAGCGGUGAAAUGCGUUGAUAUCGGGAGGAACUCCGGCGGCGAAAGCGGUGCACUGGUGGAUUUCUGACGCUGAGGUGCGAAAGCCAGGGGAGCAAACGGG